rnacentral:rRNA from 1 species
CGCGUAGGUGGGAUAGUAAGUCUACUUUAAAAGUGCGGGGCUCAACCCCGUGAUGGGGUGGAAACUGCUAUUCUUGAGUGCAGGAGAGGAAAGCGGAAUUCCCAGUGUAGCGGUGAAAUGCGUAGAUAUUGGGAGGAACACCAGUGGCGAAGGCGGCUUUCUGGGCUGUGUCUGACACUGAGGCGCGAAAGCUAGGGGAGCGAACGGGAUUAGAUACCCCGGUAGUCCUAGCCGUAAACGAUGGGUACUAGGUGUAGGGGGUAUCGACCCCCCCUGUGCCGGAGUUAACGCAAUAAGUACCCCGCCUGGGGAGUACGGCCGCAAGGUUGAA